CUUAGUUUGAUAAAGGAGGACUUUGUUCUAGCUGUUUAAAACAAUGGAGCUGUUGGAUGUGUGUGUGCGCAUAUCAAUCUCUUGUUGCUCAUUGUGUGGUCUUUCUUCCCCUCAGAUGUCAUUUAAACUCCAAAGUUGACUGGAAGACCAUUCCAACUUUAGAAUGUUCAAUUUCACAGCAUCUUCUCGAGAACACCGGAAAAAAAAAAAAACAAGAAAAAGGAAAAAAAAAAAAAAAAACAAGAACUGACUCGAACACAACAGCAGCAACCACAACAACAACAGAAACUUGUAAGGGAAACCAAUGCCUUUCCUCCACAAAGAAGAGCACAAUUAGUUUGAUCACCCGGCUAACGUGAGAAAGAAGAAUUCCUGUGGUAUCAGUUUGAAUAACUGUGCAUUCCUUUUAUGGACCAUUCAGUUUCACCCCCACCCCAUGCUUAGCUAUCAUGUGUCUAGAAAGCAAAUGUUGGAGUGUAAUUGUACAAAUUAUUUAACUUUUUUGUGAAAAGCUCAUUUCUCAGACGUAUGAUUUCUAGUAGUAAUUUGUUUUUGUCAUAUUUCUUCUCUUUAAAUAUGUUCAAGACUAGCAUUUCUUUUAAUCCAAUUAAAUUGUAUGAGAAAGAUAAAACAAACAAAAAAAAAAAAGACAAAAAAAAAAGGUAAUAUUGAUGCUGAAGCUUGAAAAAGAGAGUGCACGAGCAGCUUUCUAAGAAUGCCAAUCAUCUAUCUAUGGUGCAUUUACGAGUGUGUGCAAAGUUCAUAAACAUGCCCCGCCCACAUGUCAAUCAUGAUCCUCUUGAGUCUGGCCAAAAAAGAAAGGAAAAAAGGUCAAUCUGACCAGCUCGCUCUGUAAAGCUCCUGUUGGCCAUCAUCUCCCUCCAACCAUUGCUGAUGAUUAUAAAAUACAGCCUUAGCUUUUUAAAAAUGUGAUCAUCUGUGCAUUAGUUGAUUUUAAUCAGAGUGAUUAAAAAUAAUCUCAUUUCUGAAUACCGAGCAAAAUGCCAUAUCUUUUGAAUAUUUUUACUGUUUCCAAGUCUUGAGGUACUCUCGUAGUCCAUUCAGAAAUGACCUCCUGUAAAUAUGAGUAUCGGACUUGCACGCAAACACAGCGUUGUAUUCAAGCUGUUUCCUUUCCUGUCUUGUCACCGCUUUGUUUGCACAAUAAAGAAACUUGACUAACGUCGCAAGCGUUACUAACCAAGCACAUGUUUUAUCACAUUUGAAAUGCGCAUUUUAACUAGAAAAACAAAACAAAAAAAAGACAUCAAAAUGAUUUUUAAAAGUCUUUUUUUUUUUUUUUUUCAUUUCAUUGGGUGAUGCAGCGUAAAAGGUUAUGUUAUGAACUCCCUUUCUGAUAGAUUUUGUAUUUGUUGAAUUUUUGGGGGUGUGGUUAUGGAUGAAAAACUGGGAACACUGUAGUAUGGGAUUAGAUAUGUUGUCUUUCUUUCUCUUUUUCUCUCCCUCCCUUUUUACACACCCAUUUUCAGAAUGAUGGUUUAACAAGAGAUGGCCCUUCCUGUGCUUGGAAAUGCAGUUCCUAUUCUGUGAAUGAAAUGUUGUACAAAUCAAUGUCUGAAAAUAAUGAUACUGAAAAAAUUUAAGUUAAGCGUAAACGUUAUUUUCUUGUUUGAAUCUGCCAUGAGUUGAACUUAUAGUCGCAUGCUGUACAAUUGCUUCAGAAGAAAAAGUGCAUACGGUUUGUCGUACAUCAGAAUCUCAUUCGGGGAUAACUUAUUAACCCCUCGAGUCAGUCACAGCAUAAUCUCAAAUGGUUUGGCUUCUGCAGACACACCUACCUUCUCCUGGCAAAGCUAUGCACCUGAGUGUAGGGGGAGAGAGCCUUUUACACACUCUAAAUACAAACUUCCUGAUAAGAAAGAAAAGCUUUUUCCGUUCCUUUUUUAAAAAAAAAAAAAAAACAAUGACUGGGUCCCCAUAAAGAUCUUUUUUCAAAGUUCUAGUGAAACAAAUUCACGAUUCACAUACUCCUCCCCCCCCCAACACCUAUCCACUCACACACUUUUCUAUUUGAAAAUGGAGCAAAAUUUGGGGGUUGGGAAUUAUUAUUAUUAUUAUUAUUAUUAUGUUCAUAGAAAAAAAAAAAGCAAAAGACAAGGAUUUCAUGUGGCGUUUUAAUUUGGGGUUGGCAUCUGAAUGGCAGAUUUUUCUUUUUUUCCCACUGUAAACAGAUGCACUUUCUUUGAUAGUUGUGACUCUUUUUUUUUUAUCGUUUUAUUUCUCUGCGAUAAUGUACAAUAAAUGUGAUGUAUUUCUGUGUGCUGCCAUUGGUUAAAAAAGAAAAAGAGUUAAACUGCAGUUGAAUCCAGAUGAAUUUCCCCCCUUUCUCUCCAUUAUUAACCUGUAGACCUCCGCAUCCUCCUGGAGCCCUAUACUCUCACCUUUUGUAUUUUAUUUCAGUCUGUCGGUGUACAACAGAGAGAUGGAUGCAAGAUAGAUACUAUAUUAAAAUGUACUGUUAUUUAAAAUGUAAUAAAGAGAUUUGAAAUGUCAUCUUGGUGUGGGAGUUGGCUGUUGAAAGGGUCAGUCAUCUCACAACAGGAAGUAGAAGAGCUUUCUGCUGAAGGGAGUGAUUAUGACCGUUAUAUUCAUCCCUUUGUUUGUAGGUUUAGAAGCAAAAUUCCUGGGAAUUCUGUGUUCUGUCAUGUGUGACACUGUUAGCCUGAGUGCAUUCUCUUGUGUCAUUAACUAAAGUGCCAGGAUGGCAUUGAUUAGGGUAUCCUAGUGAUUCUGCUGGCCCAGUGUGUGACCUACAUAAGAUGGGCCCAGUGAAUCAUACAUACCCCACCCCCUGUCAAGUAGGAUACUUGAGCUCAAACUUUCUGUAAUCUAAUCAGAGAUUAGUUUUAUUUAGUUUAUUUGUGUGAAGCCAUGCUCUCCUUUGGUACACACCAUUGUUGACAAAAAAAAUCAAUUUCGCCUGAGUGAGUCUCAAAGUCUGUUACAAAAGUACCAUCACCACACACAGCCUGACAUUUGAGCUGCGACCCGUAAACAACAUUGUCUGUAAAAAUAGCAUAAAGUAAACAGCAGCCAGGUGGCCUUUGUACAACUUGUGAAGAGUUUCUGUGACCUUAGAAUGCAUUUCCUGCCGAUUUACGCUUCUCUGAAACUCUGAAGCCGUCGUCAACAACUGUUGACAAAACCACUGCUCACAUGGGGAUUUCUUAAUUAUUAUUAUUAUUAUUAUUAUUAUUAUUAUUAUUAUGCUAGAGCGCCGACAAUGGGUGUUUCUCAAAAACAAGGAUGCUUCCAAGGUCUUCCGAAUCAGGUCCUUCAAAGGCUUGGCAAGACUUGUUAGCAUUCGGAGAAACACCACUCGAGGUUCUCACAGACACAGGGGAGAAGCUCAGUCCCCUUGCCCUAAAGCCGUUUUCCUGUCAAAGUCAGACAUUUCCCACUUCAUAAUUUCCCACAGAAUGUUCCUCCCGUGUUCCAUUUAUCGUUGGCUGACCGUAAACAAAAAGUUGAAUCAUUUUUAUCUGCCAGGAAUCAUACGUGACCUGCUUCACUGGAAAGCCAUAAAAUUUGUGUUUAGUUUCAAAUCAAAACCCAAGGGACACUUCAUGUGUACUGUGCAGUAGCCUUCAGGUUGGGACACGACACUAUGGUUACAGUAAAAGGUGUCCUUGCUCAGGCCGAAUUAUUUUUAGUAUGCGAGUGGAACAAAAAAAAAUGGGUCUUUGUGCAGGCCUGAAUCAUGACCUUAUAUGCAUAUCCUUGUUUAAAGGAAACCGGCAUGACGUUUCCUUCCUUAUAAUAUGGUGGACGGGAGCCAAAAUCUCUCCUAAUACCAUUGUCCCUUUUUGAAUCUGCAAGAUCAUUUAGAAAAGAUAUUACUGUAGCAAUUCACUGCCUUUCCUUUUUUUUCUGCAGCUAUCAGCACAGGUAGUAGAUGAAGAUAAACUGGGUUGUUAGGUUUUGUGUGAUGUGGCUUUUACCAUUUUUGAGAGAUUUGGCUGAAGAACCUUUUUUUUUUUUGCCUCUUCUAGAUAAAGGACGGAAGAGACUGUCUGAAACAUUGCAAGACGCGUGUAAGUCAACGGUAGGCCAAGGGCCUCUACGUCUGAAGCUUGGCAUCAGCUCUUGUGGUGGACAUCAUGGAGGAUUCGAUUAGAACUGUCAGUAUUUUGUAUGCAAUCAGGCAGCUCUACUGCAGAACUGAACAAAACUGCACCUCACUGGAUUUAGUUCUGCCCACUUAGCUGUCUGGACCUCAAAAUCCACAAACUGUGACACAUUUGGGAAAAGUCCUAUAUUGUUGUGAUUUCAAUGAUUAUUAAUUAUGUUUUUUUUUAUAUAUAAAAUAUGUAUUUUUACAAAAGAGGCACUGCAAUGUAGUUUUGCAUUCUUGUGUUAUGAUGAGUCAAAAACAUCAGCAGGAAAUCAGCUUGGGAGUAUUUUUUUUUUGUAAAUGUAGCUGUCAAUAGUAACAGAGUUGUGUGGAAAUCAGAC
ensembl:lncRNA